AUUGAACGCUGGCGGAAUGCUUUACACAUGCAAGUCGAACGGUAGAGGGGGCAACCCCUCGAGAGUGGCGAACGGGUGAGUAAUAUAUCGGAACGUGCCCAGUCGUGGGGGAUAACGUAGCGAAAGUUACGCUAAUACCGCAUACGAUCUAAGGAUGAAAGCGGGGGAUCGCAAGACCUCGCGCGAUUGGAGCGGCCGAUAUCAGAUUAGGUAGUUGGUGGGGUAAAGGCUCCCCAAGCCAACGAUCUGUAGCUGGUCUGAGAGGACGACCAGCCACAAUGGAACUGAGACACGGUCCAGACUCCUACGGGAGGCAGCAGUGGGGAAUUUUGGACAAUGGACGCAAGUCUGAUCCAGCCAUUCCGCGUGCAGGAUGAAGGCCCUCGGGUUGUAAACUGCUUUUGUACGGAACGAAAAGGUCUCUCUUAAUACGGGGGACUCAUGACGGUACCGUAAGAAUAAGCACCGGCUAACCACGUGCCAGCCGCCGCCGUAAAAC
rnacentral:rRNA from 1 species